CUCUCUGACAACAGCAACCCUAAGGGUAAAGGUAUAUUCAGUGGAAUGUUCCAAAAGGCUCCUAAAACAGCUGAAGCCUCGCAACCAGAAGAGGUAUUCCUUGAAGAGGUGGGGUUUCAGGUGUCUCCGGAAGGUGGUGAUUGACUCCGCUGUCCUGGCGUCGUG